rnacentral:rRNA from 1 species
CUUGCCUACGGGGCGCAGCAGUGGGGAAUAUUGCACAAUGGGGGAAACCCUGAUGCAGCGACGCCGCGUGAGUGAAGAAGUAUUUCGGUAUGUAAAGCUCUAUCAGCAGGGAAGAAAUACUGACCUUACGGUCAGCAGACGGUACCUGACUAAGAAGCCCCGGCUAACUACGUGCCAGCAGCCGCGGUAAUACGUAGGGGGCAAGCGUUAUCCGGAUUUACUGGGUGUAAAGGGAGCGUAGACGGCAUAGCAAGUCUGAAGUGAAAGCCCGUGGCUCAACCGCGGAACUGCUUUGGAAACUGUUA